UUUGCAUCCUUGGGCCCAGUAGCCCGGUUCGCCGGUCUCCAGUCUCAGCGCCCGCCUCACCCGUCUCCUCAGAGAGCUUUGGGAAAGCACAAAUCAGUAGAAACACCCAUGUUCCCGUCAGCCAGGAGGACUUGUUUGCAUGGAGGUUCUCUUGAACUUUCUCACGGAAUUUAGUGUGCGCAUAGCCUGGCCUCUUCCUCCACUUUCUUGUGGCACUAUUUCCUAUUUUUAUUUCAUAUCUGAUAUUUUUUACUUCAUCAUUUUUCUGCACAAUUGUUCAGAACAAGCCCGAAAAGGAUUACACAUGGCGAAGUUAGACAGAAAUUAAUAGAGAGGGAUCGGGUCCUCGAGGGACCCGGUGCAGAUGCGCGGGCCGGAGGCUGUGGCUGGAGGCGAACCUGGACAGCCGCCCUGCGGCCCCCUGAGGGAGGCGGCUGGAGCGCCCACGCGGUCAGCACUGUCCGGUCCAGUGGGCCCAGGUGGGCCUCAGAUGCCUAGAUGUCGUGAGACCACGAACUUGGCACGUCUGACACCUAACAGGUUGGAAGUUAUUUUCCCACUAACAACAGCACAGUUGAGGAAACUCGGACAGGGAUCAAACUCGGGAACUUGCACUUGCCAGACAGGCGCUGGAACCACUGAGCUAAAUCCCCGGGCCUUAAACUUUUAAGAUGCAGGUUUAUCUGGUGAAGAGUUCUGGAAGGAGCAUGACAGCAUCCUUUCCUGUAUGGGGUUCUCUGCGAAAUAUCCUGGGCCAGUGUAGUCCUUUCUCUCUAAGGACACUGAGAUCUGCCUGUACACAGGGGAGAGACUUUGAAGGCUGCGGAGAGGGGCCUGAGUCUUCAGUUGACCAACUUGACUUACAACCAGCCCUGGCGAAUGAAUUGAGUACUCGUAAGUCAAGGUUCUGAUGUACAUUUAAUUAAAACCAAGUACAAAACCCGGUUCCCCAGUCAUUCUGGCCAAGUUUCAAGGGCUCAGGUGCUCAGGGGUGAGUGGUCCCUGUACAGUGAGUGGCACAGAGAGAGCCAGUUCUCCCUGCAGGGUGGGCAGACUGGGACGGCAUUGGGCUGGAUGAGGUGCAGCUGGGGGCAUCACAUGCCUGCUUUCGCGUUGUGGGACCUGGGUCUGAUUCCCAGCACCACCAAGACCAAAAUGUCCAAAUAACCAGGGCAGAGCCAGCCCUGUUGUGUUGGUCUGA